AUCGACUUCCCGCCACACCCACCAAGAAGCCCACGCCACUCUAUCCCAGAGCUCUCGAUGGUGCUUCUCCGGCUUCAGGGCUGGAGUGGGGGUGGAGGGCGGGAAAAACCACUGGGAGAAAACAUAGAGUACCCCGGCAGCCGGCAAGAGGAAGAGAGAGUGCCUUCCACAUCCCCAAUAUCCUAGAGGCGGCUGGGCCGGAGGCGGUCGCACAAAGGGGGCACCGGGGGCCGCUCCAGCCGCGGCCGACCAUAGAGAUGCGGCUCCAGCCGGCUCGGGGUCUGGAGCCUUCCAGGUUACAAGCUGCCUUUCCCGUUCGCUGGCUCUUAUGAUCCAGCUCCCGCCCGACUAUGUGGACACUGUCAUCACCUCCAUUUUACAGACAGGAAAGCUGAGGCCCAGAGAAGCGAUGCGACUGUGUCUGUCCAAGGCUACGCGGUGAAGGUUCUUAAUCUUGACGGCUCAGCGUCCUCCUUGGCUCCCCCCGGAGGCCAUGUAUGGCCAAGCUGGAAGAUUCCCCAGAGCAGCGAUAAUAUUCACAUUUAAGAGGCCAAAACACACAAGUCGGUGGUGAUGACAGACCCACUUUUGGACUCACAGCCAGCCCAUAGCACCGGAGAGAUGGAUGGACUGUGUCCUGAGCUACUGCUGAUCCCCCCGCCUCUCUCUAACCGUGGAAUCCUAGGGCCUGUCCAGAGCCCCUGUCCUUCCGGGGACCCUGCGCCUUUGCCUACUGAGCCAGGCUGCCUGCUGGUAGAGGCCACAGCAACUGAAGAGGGACCAGGGAACGUGGAGAUCAUUGUGGAGACAGUAGCUGGAACCCUGACCCCAGGUGCUCCUGGAGAGACCCCAGGUGUCCUGGUAAAGGUGGUGGAGGUGUACUUCUGUGAGCGCUGUGAACAGAGCUUCGCAGAGCCCACUCUGCUGGCCCUGCACCAGUGCAGUGAGACCCAUAUACAGCCUGUGCAGGGCCUCUCUAGCCUCCCAUGCUCUGUAGAGCUGCCUCCCGGCAACCCAACCCUCCCUGACGCUCUGCAGGGCCAGAGCCCACCAGUUAGUCCCCUAUCAUGCCCUGUGUGUAGACAGGAGUUUGCCCAACCCCAGGCCCUGAAGAGCCACUUCAAGAUUCACCGGGGCACUCCUGACACCUUCUCCUGCCCAGAAUCUGGCUGUGUGUUCUCUGCUGAAGAUCGCAAGGGUCUGCAGCACCACCUGAGGCAGACUCACAGAGCAGUUCCUGUGCCCUGUUCUUUCCGGGGCUGCCCCCUGCUUUUCGGGAGCCAGCAGGGCAUGGAGCUGCACCGGCAGGCGCAUUACCCUUUCCACUGCAGCCACUGCAGCUUCAUGGGCUCCAACGUCAAACUCUUCCGGCAGCAUCAGCGGAGCCAUGGUGCUGGGACACAGGGAGAACUUUCUGCCGUUCAGGGCCUUCCAUCCCAGGAGCUGCUGCCAGCUCCCAAACUGCCUCCAGGAGGGAGAGAACCUUCACAGGAAGCAGGUACACCCCUGCCUGGGCAAGAGACAGCUGAAGAGAAGAAUGUAGAGAAAGAAGAGAAGAGUGACACCCAGAAGAACUCCCAGAAGGCUGUGGAUAAAGGCCAAGGGGCUCAGCGGCUGGAAGGGGAUGUGGUCUCUGGCACCGAGUCCCUCUUCAAGACCCAUAUGUGUCCAGAGUGUAAGCGCUGCUUUAAGAAGCGGACCCAUCUGGUGGAGCACCUUCAUCUCCACUUCCCAGACCCCAGUCUCCAGUGCCCCAACUGCCAGAAGUUCUUCACCAGUAAGAGCAAGCUCAAGACCCAUCUGCUGCGGGAGCUGGGUGAAAAGGCCCACCACUGCCCACUGUGCCACUAUAGUGCGGUGGAGAGGAAUGCACUCAACCGCCACAUGGCCAGCAUGCAUGAAGAUAUUUCCAACUUCUACUCAGAUACCUAUGCCUGUCCUGUCUGCCGUGAGGAAUUCCGCCUCAGCCAGGCCCUCAAGGAGCACCUCAAGAGCCACACGGCAGCAGCCGCGGCAGAGCCGUUACCCCUUCGCUGCUUUCAGGAGGGCUGCAGCUAUGCGACACCCGACCGCAAGGCCUUCAUUAAGCACCUGAAGGAGACGCAUGGGGUGCGGGCUGUGGAGUGCCGCCAUCACUCAUGUCCCAUGCUCUUUGCCACAGCCGAAGCCAUGGAGGCCCACCACAAGAGCCACUACGCCUUCCACUGCCCCCACUGUGACUUUGCUUGUUCCAAUAAGCACCUAUUCCGUAAACACAAGAAGCAGGGCCACCCUGGCAGUGAAGAGCUGCGCUGCACCUUCUGCCCCUUUGCCACCUUCAACCCAGUGGCUUACCAGGAUCAUGUAGGCAAGAUGCAUGCUCAUGAAAAGAUCCACCAGUGUCCUGAGUGCAGCUUUGCCACUGCCCACAAGAGGGUGCUCAUCCGACACAUGCUUCUACAUACCGGUGAGAAGCCUCACAAAUGUGAGCUGUGUGACUUCACAUGUCGAGACGUGAGCUACCUAUCGAAGCACAUGCUGACCCACUCCAACACCAAGGAUUACAUGUGCACUGAAUGUGGCUAUGUCACCAAGUGGAAGCACUACCUCCGUGUGCACAUGCGAAAACAUGCAGGAGACCUCAGGUAUCAGUGCAACCAGUGCUCCUAUCGCUGCCACCGGGCUGAUCAGCUGAGCAGCCACAAGCUGCGGCAUCAGGGCAAGUCUCUGAUGUGUGAGGUGUGUGCCUUCGCCUGCAAGCGGAAGUAUGAGCUGCAGAAGCACAUGGCUUCCCAGCACCACCCUGGCACAACGGCCCCGCUCUACCCUUGUCACUACUGCAGUUACCAGAGCCGCCACAAGCAGGCUCUGCUGAGCCAUGAGAACUGCAAGCAUACCCGCCUCCGUGAGUUCCACUGUGCCCUCUGUGACUAUCGCACCUUCAGCAACACCACACUCUUGUUCCACAAACGCAAGGCCCAUGGCUAUGUGCCUGGAGACCAGGCCUGGCAGCUCCGCUACGCGAGCCAGGAGCCAGAAGGGGCCAUGCAGGGCCCGACACCCCCACCAGAUUCAGAGCCCUCAAGCCAGCUGUCUGCCCAGUCUGAGGGGCCAGGUCACGAACCUGGGACUGUGGUGGAUCCCAGCUUGGACCAGACCCUGCCAGAGACAAGUGAGGAGGUCAACACUGGAAGACAGGAGGGCAGUGAGGCUCCCCAUGGGGUUGAGCUGGCUGGCAGUUCCAGCCCAGCAGAGGUGGAAGAGGGCAGCUGCACACUACACCUAGAGGCCCUGGGAGUAGAGCUGGAGUCUGUGACUGAGCCACCCCUUGAGGAGGUCACUGAAACAGCCCCUGUGGAGUUCAGGCCCCUGGGACUGGAAGGGCCAGAUGGACUGGAAGGACCAGAGCUAUCUAACUUUGAAGGUAUUGGGACUUCUGACUUGGGUGCUGAAGGAAAUCCCCUUCUGGAAAAGCUAGCGUCGGAGCCCUCCACAAAUCCAUCCUUAGAGGAGGCCCCUAACAACUGGGUAGGAACCUUCAAGGCAACUCCACCUGCUGAGACAGCACCCUUGCCCCCGUUACCUGAGUCAGAGUCGUUACUCAAGGCUCUAAGGAGACAGGAUAAAGAACAAGCAGAGGCAUUGGUGCUGGAGGGGCGGGUGCAGAUGGUAGUGAUCCAGGGAGAGGGGCGAGCCUUCCGCUGCCCACACUGCCCUUUUAUCACUCGCCGGGAGAAGGCCCUGAAUCUGCACUCCAGGACUGGGUGCCAGGGCCGUCGAGAGCCCCUGCUGUGCCCUGAGUGUGGGGCUAGCUUCAAGCAACAGCGUGGCCUCAGCACCCACCUGCUGAAGAAGUGCCCUGUUUUGCUCAGAAAGAACAAGGGCUUGCCCAGACCAGAUUCACCCAUCCCUCUGCAACCUGUGCUCCCACGUACCCAGGCCUCAGAGGACACAGAAGGUGGGAAGCCCCCACCUGCACCACUAGAAGCAGAGCUACUGCUUCCGAAAGAUGUUCCUUUGGAGCUUCCCAGGGAGCCAGAAGAAACAGAAGAGCCUCUUGCCACAGUCUCUGGUUCCCCAGUCCCUCCUGCAGGAAACUCCUCGCCCACAGAGGCCCCGAAGAAACACCGCUUUGAGCAGGGCAAGUUUCACUGCAACUCCUGCCCAUUCCUUUGUUCCCGGCUCUCCUCUAUUACCUCUCACGUGACUGAAGGCUGCAGGGGAGGACGUGGCGGGGGAGGAAAACGAGGGACCCCCCAGACCCAGCUUGUGUCCCCAUUGAGCAAUGGGGACUCUGCUACCCUGAAGAAUGGGAGUACAGAGUCCAGCUCUGGUGAUGGGGAUACAGUUCUGGUUCAAAAGCAGAAGGGGGCUCGCUUCUCCUGCCCCACAUGUCCCUUUAGCUGCCAGCAGGAACGGGCUCUGAGGACUCACCAGACCCGGGGCUGCCCCCUCGAGGAGUCUGGAGAGCUGCACUGCAGCCUCUGCCCAUUCACUGCUCCUGCUGCCUCUGCCUUGAGGCUCCACCAGAAGCGGAGGCACCCCACUGUGGCCCCAGCCCGUGGGCCCCGGCCCCAUCUGCAGUGUGGGGACUGUGGCUUCACCUGUAAACAGAGCCGUUGCAUGCAGCAGCACCGGCGGCUCAAGCACGAGGGGGUGAAGCCUCAUCAGUGCCCCUUCUGUGACUUUUCCACCACCAGACGGUACCGGUUAGAGGCUCACCAGUCCCGACACACAGGCAUUGGCCGCAUCCCCUGCAGCUCUUGCCCCCAGACAUUUGGUACCAACUCGAAACUGCGCUUGCACCGGUUAAGGGUACAUGACAAAACACCCACCCAUUUCUGUCCACUUUGUGACUAUAGUGGCUACCUUCGCCAUGACAUUACUCGUCAUGUCAACAGCUGCCACCAAGGCACCCCAGCCUUUGCCUGCUCCCAGUGUGAAGCCCAGUUCAGCUCAGAGACAGCACUUAAGCAGCAUGCUCUGCGCCGACACCCCGAGCCUGCACAGCCUGCCCUUGGCUCUCCUGCAGAGACCACUGAGGGCCCCCUGCACUGUUCCCGCUGUGGGUUGCUGUGCCCCAGCCCUGCCAGCUUACGAGGACACACCCGUAAACAGCACCCACGGCUUGAGUGUGGGGCCUGCCAGGAGGCCUUCCCUAGCCGACUGGCUCUGGAUGAGCACCGGAGGCAGCAGCAUUUCAGCCACCGCUGUCAGCUCUGUGACUUUGCUGCCCGGGAGCGGGUGGGCCUGGUGAAGCACUACCUGGAACAGCAUGAGGAGACUUCAGCAGCUGUGGCAGCCUCAGAUGGGGAUGGGGAUGCUGGCCAGCCCCCUCUGCACUGCCCCUUUUGUGACUUCACGUGCCGCCAUCAGCUGGUACUAGAUCACCAUGUGAAAGGGCAUGGGGGCACUCGUCUCUACAAGUGCACCGAUUGUGCUUACAGCACCAAGAACCGGCAGAAGAUCACCUGGCACAGCCGUAUCCACACUGGGGAAAAGCCUUACCACUGUCACCUCUGCCCUUACGCCUGUGCUGAUCCCUCUCGCCUCAAGUACCACAUGCGGAUCCACAAGGAGGAACGGAAGUACCUGUGCCCUGAGUGUGGCUAUAAGUGCAAGUGGGUCAACCAGCUCAAAUACCACAUGACCAAGCACACAGGACUGAAGCCAUACCAGUGUCCCGAGUGUGAGUACUGCACCAACCGGGCUGAUGCACUGCGUGUGCACCAGGAGACCCGGCAUCGAGAAGCACGGGCUUUCAUGUGUGAGCAGUGCGGCAAGGCCUUCAAGACGCGCUUCCUGCUGCGCACCCACCUUCGCAAGCACAGUGAGGCCAAACCCUAUGUGUGCAACGUGUGCCACCGUGCUUUCCGCUGGGCUGCUGGCCUGCGCCAUCAUGCCCUCACCCACACUGACCGCCACCCCUUCUUUUGCCGCCUCUGCAACUACAAGGCCAAGCAAAAGUUCCAGGUGGUCAAGCACAUACGCAGGCACCACCCUGACCAAGCCGACCCAAACAAGGGUGUGGGCAAAGACCCCACCACCCCCACAGUGCACCUGCAUGAUGUGCAGCUGGAGGAUCCCAGCCCUCCUGCUCCUGCCGCUCCCCACACUGGACCUGAGGGCUGAAAGCCUGCCCCACAUCCUGAAUAGGAAGAGGGUAUGGUCUGAGAUGUGCAGACUGGGAUCAGCACUAACCUGAGGAGCCUAAGGAAGGACUGGCUUUUGAGGAGCAAGGGUGACUAGAACCUUCCUGGGACUCUGGCUAUAGUACUUUGAAAUUAUCACCCAUAUAAAAGGGGGACAUGGACUACAAUGUUGAUUUCUUAUUGCUGUACAUUGUGUUUUUAACCUGCGAGUUCCCGGUUUCUUCCCCAUCACUCCAUCGAAGUCCCUGGCUAUAAGAUCUGGAUUUCACCCACUCAGUCUUCUCUUUCCUUCUUACUGUGUCAAGUCCUAUUUUCUUUCAGAAUCUUCUAAAAACGGUUGUAUCUAACCGCAUGUGCUGUUGUGCCUAAUGCUCUAUAAAGCAUGUUAAACAGAAAGUGGUUACUACAUUAUAGAUUUAUCCAAAUCCCUGUCUUAACAUUUCCAGGCUGUCAUCUUGAUCAACUCUGUCCCCUCUCAGACCUCUGCCUCCCUUUUGUCUCCUUCCAUCUUCACUUAGUAUUGAUUCUGAAACAGGCCUAGGUCUGCCUUCUCUCUGUCCUUGAGCUGUCUUGACCCUUGGCCAGCUCCCUACUUCAAGCUCCUUUGUCUACCUGUAUCUAUAAAGGGAGGAUUGCUACCCACUAAGCCUCCUCCUAGAAGCAACUUUAGCUCAUCAUCAAUCCUCAGACUGGCUCAGCACCUGCAGUAAGGUGUUAAAGUACAAGGAUACUAUGGAAAGGCAGAUGACUAGAGAGGAAAAUCUCCAAUUCAGAAUUCUGUAACUGCUUCACAGUAUAAUUCUGUAGUGCCUUACUAUAUAAUUGAUCAUCUAACCUGGGACACACUGGGAAAACUUAAAGAGGGUACUAUUAAUAAUUAUGCUGGGACAAUAGACAUAAACCAGCAUGGUUCCAGCCAGAAUCUUCAGGAAGGCUGGGACCACAUAAUCUUUUGUCUUCUUUUGCCCUGAUUCUUAAAAGCCAUACUCUGUGUCCUUCCUAUGUAGCACAUACAGGAGGUCUCCUGGGAACUUCUUUCUCUACCUUUUCCUUCUCUCACCUGACUACCCAGAUGUCCCCACAACCCUUGUGCCUCCCCUCCUUGCCCAACAGUGACAGACCAUAUUGAAGCCAAAUUGGAGAGAGAUAUAUUUAUACCAGUGGGGCCAAGGAGGAAGCAGUCCAGUGGGGACUGUGAGUGCUGUGCAGUGUUCUCUUGAGAGUCGUACAGUCCUGGGGUCAAGUCUCUCCCUAAUCUUUGCCAGGGAAGCCUUGAGCCUUGAUUUAUCCUUCCCUUGGCUUUGGGCUUUGAGGAAGUUGGGAGUGGAGGAGAUGAUGCUUCUUUAGGUUUCUCUGUUCCAAGCCCCUCUGAAUUUCUAGGUGCAAUCUGCCUUCACACAGAGUUGAUGGGAAAGAUUAGUCAUAGAUGUUGGUAUGGGAUUGAGCCUAUAGCAGGAGGAAGAAGGGAACUCCAGUAUAGAGUACAUAAAGGGAAAGGGCAGGAAAGAUACCAAAGGCUUAUGAAAACAAAGGAAGGAAAGAAAAGAGAAAAAAGGUGGAAAGUCAGGUCCCAGAUUUGCUUGUUAGGAAGGAUGAGGUAAUUUUGUGCCUAGGAAUGCACAAUCCAAAGCUUGGUUUUCACCACUUCCAUUUGUUCUCUAGAGCGUCCUUCCAGGUGUUUCGCACCAUCUAAAGCCAGCACACAAACCCUUCCCGUGAAGUGCCCACCUCAGGACUCAUCCCCCUCCAGACCUUCUCGGAUGCAGAUAUACACAAAGAUGGAAGCUGGGCAGAGGCUGAUGCCAUCUUUGGACAGCAGUUGGUCUCCUGCCGUGCUGUGUCUAGACGGACACCAAAGAUCUGCACUUUCACCAGUGGAUCCACAAUGGACCCCUCUUUGGUCUUGUUGAGUUUGGGGAGUUGCUGACCACUGAUCACCUGUAACGAGGGCUCUGGAAUCUCACGAGUUCCUGCUCAGCCCAGCCCCACCUGACCCUACUCCCAAUCCCAGGGGAGGAGAAGCUUUUUGGUUUGCAGAACAUCCUCCAUGGGUAAUAUAUUUUCUUCUAGUAUUCUAUCUGCAAUUUAAAAUGCAUCCAAGGGCCAGGUGCAGUGGCUCACACCUGUAAUCCUAACAUUUCGGGAGGCCAAGGUGGGUGGAUCACUUGAAAUCAGGAGAUCAGCCUGGGCAACAUGGUGAAAUCCUAUCUCUGCUAAAAAUACAAAAAUAAGCAAAGCGUGGUGGCGGGCGCCUGUAGUCCCAACUACUCGGAAGGCUCAGAUGGGAGAAUCACUUGAACCGAGAAGGCGGAGGUUGCAGUGAGCGAAGAUCAUGCCACUGCUGCCACUGCACUCCGGCCUAGGCAGCAGAGCAAGACUCUGUCUCAGAAUAAAUAAAUAAAUAAAAUAAAAUGGAUCCAGGUAGAAAUUCAACAGUUUGAAAGUAGGCAUGCUAAUGACAGCAGCCUCUUUUUUUUUUUCAAAGAGACACGAUGACACUCUUGCCCAAGCUGGAAUGCAGUGGGGUGGUCAUCACUCACUACAACCUCCAACUCCUGGGCUCAAGUGACCCUCCAGCCUUAUUAGUCUCCUAAGUAGCCAGGACUAUAGUCAUGUGCCAGGCUAAUUUUUAAAUUUUUUGUAGAGACGGGGGUCUUACUGUUGUCCAGGCUGGUCUCAAACUCCUGGGCUCAAGCAAUCCUCCUGCCUUGGCCUCCAAAGCGCUGAGAUUACAGAUGUAAGCUAUCGUUCCCAAUCAGCCUCUUUUAUAGCACUUCCUGUGUACCAGGAGUUGUAAGAACUUCAUAUUAACAACUAUACUCCUUAUAACCCUGUCAGGCAGGUGGUAGUGUUACCCCCAUUUUGCAGGUGAGCAGACUGAGGUAUGGAGAGGUUAAGGAACUUGCCCAACAUUACCCAAUUAGGAAGUUGUGGUUUGAAGCUAGGCAGCUGGCUCCAAAAGCUAAAACUAGACAGUUAAUAUUCCUGUCAGGCCUAGCCACCUCUUUCCUCACUUCUAUCCCAGUUAUCUCAGUUUCUUCCCAACAGUUUAUUUCCAUUGUACCUGGAUUAAGAGAGUCUGGGCCUUGAAAGGGCUGAUGGGUCUCUCGGGGUGGAAGGAACUUUGGUUAUCACGCAGGAAGUCUGGCUUCAGCACAUAGCCACAGCCGCCAUUCUGGCGGAAAUGCCCAUCACAGAUGUCCAUUUCAAGCCCUGCAGUCUGCAUAUUCAUGGCCACUGAGGGCCCCAGGAGAAAAGAAGAGCAAGAUUCACCAUGGAGGCCUUCCAGCCCCUCUUUGAGGGAGUUAAGAAGAUAGGUAUAGGGUACAUGGUACCUGCUGGUAAUACCUCCACUGAUAGCACUUCUCAGCCUAGCGAUUUUCUUGAGCAUUCCCCAACCCUACUGUCACUAGAGAGCUUAUUUCCCACCUGCUGCUCCACUCCCUCUUCCCAGUUCCUGCUGCCGCCUCACCCAUCUGGCAGCCUGCAUUCCAGAGUUCCUGGGGGUUGUAGUUGGAAGAGUCGGUCCUCAGGCCACUGGGAUACACACGGCUUAACUGCCAAGUAUUGUGCUGCACAAACUCAUUGCCUAUAAAAGGGUAUAGAGAGGGAGAUGGAAGCGGGGUGGAAUCUCCCACUUCCCUAGUCCCAAGGACCCUGCCUACCCUUCACCCUUCUCUCCAGCAUCUGAAGCUGGCUCCAGAAAGUUUCACUAUGCCUCUCUAUUCUGUUCCAUCCAGACCAUCUUCCCCAGCUUUCCUGCCCCUAGACCCUUGAGCCACUAUUCAUAACUCCUCUACCCAUGCCUGUUCUGAGGAGUUUCUGAACUCCUUCAUCCCUCCUUAGAUACCUUGUCUUUUUUCUUGGGACUUACCUGCCAGGCCUUCGGGCCUGAACCUAUCCAUCCCGCUUCCCCCCCCAUCCCUCCAUUUUGGUCCUGACCAGCCUCCUUGAUGAGGCGCUUGGCCUUGGUUUCAGAGAAAGAUGAUAUCUCAUAGAAGUGGUAGUGCUCCUUUGAAUGUGUGAAGCUGCGGAAUGAGACAGACUUCAAGUAGAUAACCAGGGAAGAGAGGGCUGGACACAAGAUGUUCUUGGAUUUCUGGAAAAGGUGUAAAAGAAGAUGGAAUUGAACCCUCAGCAGUCUGAGAGAGAAGAAGCUAAUGGCCAUCCAACCUAAACCUCUGCCCACUGCCUCCCCGGUGUAUUCUCCCUCCUGCCUCACCUGCUGGGACAAGAGAAGGGACUCAGGCUUGGAAAUAGCCUGGGUCACAAUCUGACAACAGAUAGAUGGACAAAACAGCGGACACGUCACAACCUGGGGGUGGGAAUGGGAAUAAAGGCGGUCUGCAUGUACUGCUGGGA